AGAACGAACGCUGGCGGCAUGCCUAAUACAUGCAAGUCGAACGAACUCUUCGGAGUUAGUGGCGCACGGGUGCGUAACGCGUGGGAAUCUGCCCCUUGGUUCGGAAUAACAGCUGGAAACGACUGCUAAUACCGGAUGAUGACGAAAGUCCAAAGAUUUAUCGCCAAGGGAUGAGCCCGCGUAGGAUUAGCUAGUUGGUGAGGUAAAGGCUCACCAAGGCAACGAUCCUUAGCUGGUCUGAGAGGAUGAUCAGCCACACGUGGGACUGAGACACGGCCCAGACUCCGUACGGGAGCAGCAGUAGGGAAUGUUGGACAAUGGGACAAAGCCUAGAUCCAGCAAUCGCCGCGUGAGUGAGUGAAGUCCGUUAGGUAGUAAAGCUUACGUUUACCGAG
rnacentral:rRNA from 1 species